rnacentral:rRNA from 1 species
CGUGUAGGCGGGUAAGCAAGUCAGAUGUGAAAUACCGGGGCUCAACUCCGGAACUGCAUCUGAAACUGCAUAUCUUGAGUACUGGAGAGGAAAGUGGAAUUCCUAGUGUAGCGGUGAAAUGCGUAGAUAUUAGGAGGAACACCAGUGGCGAAGGCGGCUUUCUGGACAGUAACUGACGCUGAGGCGCGAAAGCGUGGGGAGCAAACA